AGCGAACGCUGGCGGCAGGCUUAACACAUGCAAGUCGAACGGGCACUUCGGUGCUAGUGGCAGACGGGUGAGUAACACGUGGAAACGUACCUUUCGGUUCGGAAUAAUCCAGGGAAACUUGGACUAAUACCGGAUACGCCCUUCGGGGGAAAGAUUUAUCGCCGAUAGAUCGGCCCGCGUCUGAUUAGCUAGUUGGUGAGGUAAUGGCUCACCAAGGCGACGAUCAGUAGCUGGUCUGAGAGGAUGAUCAGCCACAUUGGGACUGAGACACGGCCCAAACUCCUACGGGAGGCAGCAGUGGGGAAUAUUGGACAAUGGGCGCAAGCCUGAUCCAGCCAUGCCGCGUGAGUGAUGAAGGCCUUAGGGUUGUAAAGCUCUUUUGUCCGGGAAGAUAAUGACUGUACCGGAAGAAUAAGCCCCGGCUAACUUCGUGCCAGCCGCCGCCGUAACAC
rnacentral:rRNA from 1 species